GUCGCAUACCUGGCAGUCACUGACAUCGGACUUCAACAGCGACCUGAAGGUUAUCUACAAUCAUCAUCGUCUCCGUGUGGAAGCAAGAUGAAGGCCAGUGUCUUAGUCCUCCUCGCGCUACUCAGCGUCGUCAUGGUGACAGCCACUCCUACUGACUGGUCAGACCACCAGCAGCAAGAAGUGAGCAGACGACAGCCAUCACCUGCAGCUGCAGCCCAGGAGCUGGCAGAAAACAAACGUCUGAUUUUCAUACCACCGCCCGGUAUGCGCCCAUUCCCCGGGUAGACAGCUGGCUGCACUCAGCCACGUACCCUGUCGAUCAACGGCCCAACGGUGACGUCACCCAAUAAGUUUCAAUAAAACUGCAGAAAAAAA